rnacentral:rRNA from 1 species
GAUGAACGCUAGCGGCAGGCCUAAUACAUGCAAGUCGAACGGGAUCCAUUAGGAAGCUUGCUUUCUGAUGGUGAGAGUGGCGCACGGGUGCGUAACGCGUGAGCAACCUACCCUUGUCAGGGGGAUAGCCCGGCGAAAGUCGGAUUAACACCGCAUAACAUCACGAUAUGGCAUCAUAUUGUGAUCAAAUAUUUAUAGGACAAGGAUGGGCUCGCGUGACAUUAGCUAGUUGGUAAGGUAACGGCUUACCAAGGCUACGAUGUCUAGGGGCUCUGAGAGGAGAAUCCCCCACACUGGUACUGAGACACGGACCAG